rnacentral:rRNA from 1 species
AUUGAACGCUGGCGGCAGGCCUAACACAUGCAAGUCGAACGAGUGGCGGACGGGUGAGUAAUGUCUGGGAAACUGCCUGAUGGAGGGGGAUAACUACUGGAAACGGUAGCUAAUACCGCAUACCAUCAGAUGUGCCCAGAUGGGAGUAGCUAGUUGGUGGGGUAACGGCUCACCAAGGAGACGAUCCCUCGCUGGUCUGAGAGGAUGACCUGCAAAAUUUGAACUGAGACACGGUCAAUACUCCUACGGGAGGUAGCAGUGGGGAAGAUUGCACAAGGGGCGCAAGCCUGAUGCAGCCAUGCCGCGUGUAUGAAGAAGGCCUUCGGGUUGUAAAGUACUUUCAGCGGGGAGGCGUUACCCGCAGAAGAAGCACCGGCUAACUCCGUGCCAGCAGCCGCGGUAAUUC